rnacentral:rRNA from 1 species
CGCGUAGGUGGCUCGUUAAGCGUGUGGUGAAAGCCUGGGGCUCAACCCCAGGUCUGCCGUGCGAACUGGCGAGCUUGAGCAGAGUAGAGGCGGGUGGAAUUUCGGGUGUAGCGGUGGAAUGCGUAGAUAUCCGAAAGAACACCGGUGGCGAAGGCGGCCCGCUGGGCUCUUGCUGACACUGAUGCGCGACAGCGUGGGGAGCAAACAGGAUUAGAUACCCUGGUAGUCCACGCCGUAAACGAUGGGUACUAGGCGUCUGGGGGAGCGACCCCCUGGGUGCCGGCGCUAACGCAUGAAGUACCCCGCCUGGGGAGUACGGCCGCAAGGCUGAA